CACACCCUUAUAAAGGGUGUUUCAUUCUCCUCCCCAACCGAUGUGGGAUCUCACAGCGAGUGUUUUCUACAAAGAAUUGUGUUCAACAUGUAGGGAAAAAAAACGAAGAGAGAGAGACACAAAAAGGGACUAUGCGCGGAGGGCGUUCUCGUGGUGAUGAUUAUAUCAGAGAUAGAAAUGCAGUUGAGAUGACCAUGGUGGAAGGGGAUGAGAGCAUACAGGUAGUAAUGACUUUAAUCAGACGAAGUAUAAAGGUGUCGGGUCGUUGAUUCUGGCUUCUAUAUACUCAUAGUCCCGAAGAAUAAUCACAUAAAGAUAUCGAUAUCAAAGGGUAGCUCCAAGUUUCACUUUCUCAGAGCAAUUGGGGUGCCAACUUUUUACUACACACUGCAAAUUAGAUGUUUAAACGCCGAGAAGCACGCGUAAGGUACUUGGUAUUCGAUUUUGUGGUCUGCAUAUCUGAUCAUUAUACCAUCCACAAUAUAGCACUAAGGGCAGGCUUCCCCACAAAGGUCUACCAACCCCACAAGCAAGAGGAUAAGACCCCUUUUAGGUUUUGGUUUUUCUUUCUCAAUAGUGAAAGCAAAACUUCUCUUAGCUUUUUGUUGUCCUUGUUUUGUGAAAUGUAAUUUGAAUGUUUCCAUCCUUUUCUUCUUCCUCUUGAGAUGAAUGAAACAAGAUAUGAAAUGUUAGGGCAGUUAUUUAA